rnacentral:rRNA from 1 species
AUUGAACGCUGGCGGCAUGCCUUACACAUGCAAGUCGAACGGCAGCACGGGAGCAAUCCUGGUGGCGAGUGGCGAACGGGUGAGUAAAGUAUCGGAACGUGCCCAGUCGUGGGGGAUAACGUAGCGAAAGCUACGCUAAUACCGCAUACGAUCUAUGGAUGAAAGCGGGGGAUCGCAAGACCUCGCGCGAUUGGAGCGGCCGAUAUCAGAGUAGGUAGUUGGUGGGGUAAAGGCCCACCAAGCCGACGAUCUGUAGCUGGUCUGAGAGGACGACCAGCCACACUGGGACUGAGACACGGCCCAGACUCCUACGGGAGGCAGCAGUGGGGAAUUUUGGACAAUGGGCGAAAGCCUGAUCCAGCAAUGCCGCGUGCAGGAUGAAGGCCCUCGGGUUGUAAACUGCUUUUGUACGGAACGAAACGGUGAGCUCUAAUACAGUUUGCUAAUGACGGUACCGUAAGAAUAAGCACCGGCUAACUACGUGCCAGCCGCCGCGGUAACAC